GAUGAACGCUGGCGGCGUGCCUAAUACAUGCAAGUCGAGCGAACGGACGAGAAGCUUGCUGCUCUGAUGUUAGCGGCGGACGGGUGAGUAACACGUGGAUAACCUACCUAUAAGACUGGGAUAACUUCGGGAAACCGGAGCUAAUACCGGAUAAUACUUUGAACCGCAUGGUUCAAAAGUGAAAGACGGUCUUGCUGUCACUUAUAGAUGGAUCCGCGCUGCAUUAGCUAGUUGGUAAGGUAACGGCUUACCAAGGCAACGAUGCAUAGCCGACCUGAGAGAGUGAUCGGCCACACUGGGAGAGAGACACGGUCCAGACUCCGACGGGAGGCAGCAGUAGGGAAUCUUGCGCAAUGGGCGAAGGCCUGACGGAGCAACGCCGCGUGAGUGAUGAAGGUCUUCGGGUCGUAAAGCUCUGUUAUUAGGGAAGGAGAUAUGUGUAAGUAACUGUGCACAUAUUGACGGUACCUAAUCAGAAAGCCACGGCUAACUCCGUG
rnacentral:rRNA from 1 species